rnacentral:rRNA from 1 species
GCCUGCCCAGUGACCAUGAGUUUAACGGCCGCGGUAUUCUGACCGCGCGAAGGUAGCGUAAUCACUUGUCUUCUAAAUAAAGACUUGUAUGAACGGCCACACGAGGACUUAACUGUCUCCCCUGUCCAAUCAGUGAAACUGAUCUCCUCGUGCAGAAGCGAGGAUAAACCCAUAAGACGAGAAGACCCUAUGGAGCUUUAAACUUAAUAUCAACUACUCCCUUAUUCCCCCUCUAAGGAGCUAACAAGGCCCCCAUGAACUUGAUAUAAGUUUUAGGUUGGGGCGACCAUGGAGAAAAAAAUAACCUCCCUGAUGAUUUUUUAACCAAGAGCCACGGCUCUAAGUAUUAAGACUCUUAACUCCCAUUGACCCAUUUUAUGAUCAACGAACCAAGUUACCCUAGGGAUAACAGCGCUAUCCAUUUCAAGAGUCCCUAUCGACAAAUGGGUUUACGACCUCGAUGUUGGAUCAGGGCAUCCUAGUGGUGCAACCGCUACUAACGGUUCGUUUGUUCAACGAUUAAAGCCCU